GAUGAACGCUGGCGGCGUGCCUAAUACAUGCAAGUCGAGCGAACAGACGAGGAGCUUGCUCCUCUGACGUUAGCGGCGGACGGGUGAGUAACACGUGGAUAACCUACCUAUAAGACUGGGAUAACUUCGGGAAACCGGAGCUAAUACCGGAUAAUAUAUUGAACCGCAUGGUUCAAUAGUGAAAGACGGUUUUGCUGUCACUUAUAGAUGGAUCCGCGCCGCAUUAGUUAGUUGGUAAGGUAACGGCUUACCAAGGCAACGAUGCGUAGCCGACCUGAGAGGGUGAUCGGCCACACUGGAACUGAGACACGGUCCAGACUCCUACGGGAGGCAGCAGUAGGGAAUCUUCCGCAAUGGGCGAAAGCCUGACGGGGCAACGCCGCGUGAGUGAUGAAGGUCUUCGGAUCAUAAAACUCUGUUAUUAGGGAAGAACAAAUGUGUAAGUAACUAUGCACGUCUUGACGGUACCUAAUCAGAAAGCCACGGCUAACUACGUG
rnacentral:rRNA from 1 species